GACGAACGCUGGCGGCGUGCUUAACACAUGCAAGUCGAACGGAAAGGCCCUGCUUUUGUGGGGUGCUCGAGUGGCGAACGGGUGAGUAACACGUGAGUAACCUGCCCUUGACUUUGGGAUAACUUCAGGAAACUGGGGCUAAUACCGGAUAGGAGAUCCUGCUGCAUGGUGGGGGUUGGAAAGUUUCGGCGGUUGGGGAUGGACUCGCGGCUUAUCAGCUUGUUGGUGGGGUAGUGGCUUACCAAGGCUUUGACGGGUAGCCGGCCUGGGAGGGUGACCGGCCACCUUGGGCCUGCGGUACGGCCCAGUCGCCUACGUGCCGCAGCGGGGGGGAAUCUUGCGCAAUGGGCCGAAGCCUGUUGCAGCAACCCCCCGUUCGUAAUACCCUCUUUCGGGGUGUAAACCGCUUUCGCCUGAGACGAGCCGGGAUUGACGGUAAUGGGUAAGGAAGCACCGGCUAACUACGUG
rnacentral:rRNA from 1 species